GACGAACGCUGGCGGCGUGCUUAACACAUGCAAGUCGAACGGAAAGGCCCAGCUUGCUGGGUGCUCGAGUGGCGAACGGGUGAGUAACACGUGGGUGAUCUGCCCCUGACUUCGGGAUAAGCUUGGGAAACUGGGUCUAAUACCGGAUAGGACAAUCGUUUAGUGUCGGUUGUGGAAAGUUUUUUCGGUUAGGGAUGAGCCCGCGGCCUACCAGCUUGUUGGUGGGGUAAUGGCCUACCAAGGCGUCGACGGGUAGCCGGCCUGAGAGGGUGGACGGCCACAUUGGGACUGAGAUACGGCCCAGACUCCUACGGGAGGCAGCAGUGGGGAAUAUUGCACAAUGGGCGCAAGCCUGAUGCAGCGACGCCGCGUGGGGGAUGACGGCCU
rnacentral:rRNA from 1 species